rnacentral:rRNA from 1 species
GGCUUGCGGCUUAUCAGGUUGUUGGUGGGGUAAUGGCCUACCAAGCCUACGACGGGUAACUGGUCUGAGAGGACGAUCAGUCAGAGGGGGACUGCGACACGGCCCCCACUCCUACGGGAGGCAGCAGCAGGGAAUCUUGCGCAAUGGACGAAAGUCUGACGCAGCGACGCCGCGUGAAGGAAGAAGGCUCUAGGGUUGUAAACUUCUUUUCUGAGGGAAGAGUAAGGACGGUACCUCAGGAAUAAGCCUCGGCUAACUACGUGCCAGCAGCCGCGGUAAUACGUAGGAGGCAAGCGUUGUCCGGAUUUAUUGGGCGUAAAGGGCGUGCAGGUGGCAUAGAAAGUUUUUGUUGAAAUCUCCCGGCUUAACUGGGAGGGGUGCAAGAAUACUUCUAAGCUAGAGGGCAGUAGAGGAAAGUGGAAUUCAUGGUGUAGUGGUGAAAUGCGUAGAUAUCAUGAGGAACACCAGUGGCGAAAGCGGCUUUCUGGGCUGCACCUGACACUGAGGCGCGAAAGCAUGGGUAGCAAACCGGAUUAGAUACCCGGGUAGUCCAUGCCAUAAACGAUGGAUACUGAGUAUGGGGGGUAUCGACCCCUUCUGUGCUGAAGCUAACGCGUUAAGUAUCCCGCCUGGGAACUACGGUCGCAAGACUAAAACUCAAAGGAAUUGACGGGGCCCCGCACAAGCAGCGGAGCGUGUGGUUUAAUUCGAUGCUAAGCGAAGAACCUUACCAGGGUUUGACAUACUAGUAGUACUGAUCCGAAAGGUGAAGGACCCCUCGGGGAGCUAGUACAGGUGCUGCAUGGCUGUCGUCAGCUCGUGCCGUGAGGUGUUGGGUUA